UGUCCUAGUAUUUUAUCCUAUUUUGGAUUCAUUUGGAUUUUGUUGGCUGUUUUGUGUGUAUUUUUUAAAACUUUUGUUUGUCAUUUGUAUAUUUUAUAAAUUUACCACAAUGCAAAGUGACUAUUUAAGGAAAUUAUUAUUGGAAACUCCGCAGAUGUUUUAGAAAGAUAUUCAUUGAAGCUGAAAAUAAUUGGAGAUUUAGAUCCAUAUACAAUUCAGUCAUCAGAAUUGGAUUUUACAGUGCAUUCCAUCAAUUACUGUUAUAAUGCUAUUAUAGAUAGACUGGUAGAGUAUCACAGUUACUACUUUAAGCAGCAGAUGAAAGCAUACAAAAGCCUUCAGACACAUAAAAGCCUUCACAACUGGAUUUGUUUUGAAACAUUUGAUGUUUUGAUGAUUUCUAUAUUAUUGUUGGAAAGGUGAAGAAUUCCCAAAAAGCUAAUGCUAAACCACUAGAUACUUGGGUGAUAGCCAGUUCCAAUGGCAUAGCAAAUGCACAUUGUAUGUGUAUUGCCGGUAAUAGUGAAGUUUGCAGCCAUAUUGCAGCAAUCUUAUUUGCAGCUGAGUAUGGCCACAGCAAGACAGAAGAAGAAGAACCCAGUGCAUGUACAGAUGUUACAGCUAUGUAUAUUCUCUGGUGAAAAACUAAUGAGUUUUCAAGCUGUUCGGUCAGAGUGCUUGUUGCGCUCUCUAAACGAACUGAAAUAUAAGACGGCUUUGGCUUCAUGUUGCAGCGAUAUGAAAAUGGUGUCUGUGGAUCUUUUUGUAUGCAAAAAUUUGUAAUAAUUAUUUGAAAUCAUUUUGAGGAUUAUAAGAGUAUGGAAAUAUAUGUGAGAACACAGACUAUUAUAGUUUUGUCCUAUUUUUAUAUUUAUAAAUAUAAAGCAGAUAAUUUUCAUUGAAAUUCAAUAUAUUGGGUCUUAUUUGUAUGUAUUCAUUUUUGACUAAAGGUACGAUUCCGAUAACGACUGCAAACAUCAGUUGCAGUUCUCGGCGUUAUGGACAUUACUACUUUGCACUAUUUAUCUGUAUGAGACUGAUUCCGACAUCUGACUGCAACUGCUGUCUGGCAGAACAUCAGUUGAUAAUAAUUAUGCAAAUUAUUAGUGCAAAAUAAUGACGUCUGUCAUGGUGACAACUGUAACUGCCAUCUGCAGUCGUUGUCGGAAUCGUACCUUUAAAGUGUGUGGUAUAAUUAUAAUAAUUAUAUAUAUUAUAUAACUUAAAUGGUUUAAACUUAAGUUUGUUAUUACAUUGUGACUUAAAUGUUUAAUUUGUUAAUAAAUGAUUUAUUAGUUUA